CGGGGUUUCGCUGAGCAUUUUCGUCGACAUUUCUGAACCGAUAAUGCCCUUUGAAAUCCUGAA
rnacentral:pre_miRNA from 1 species